UUUGGUGGAAUGGCAGAAUCGAUGAACUGUGGUGAAUUGUGGUCACAGUUCCCAAGACUGGAUUCAACACAUUUCUAAUUCCGAAAUAAUCGAGUGAACGAAUCUUAUUAAGAUUCUGCGAUUGUCAGUAAUCCUAUUCUGCUACGCAACCCAAAUUUUUGGUGCCUUUUGUUGAAUCCUACCAUGAGGAGCUGGCAUACGUAUUUGUUGUUGAAAAGAUCCGUCCAGAAAGUGCUUGGACGGAAGUUCUGGCUGAUGAAAUGCACAAUUGAAUAAAUCUAAGAGGCAAAACGGGAUUAUUUAGGAAUACUGGGUUUCAUUUAAUAAGCUGAGAAACUCAGCAAAUUAUUGUAAAUAAACCAAUUUCACCGAAAAAGACAGCGUUGUAUGUGCAGCAAAAACUACUGACAAAAUCAGCAUUUUUUGACAGCGCAUGAAUCUAUAGCUUUACGGAGUUUUCGGUAGCAAUAUUUUUUACUGAGUUAACUCUGCUGUUCAAAAACCCAGUAAAUUUUACUGACUUCGGUAAUCAAAUCUAAGUGUGUAACUAGUUUGUUCAAUAGUGGUUAUCACGCCCAAUAGUAUGGGUGCCCUAGUGUAGAUGUAGUUGUGAACCUUACACGCUAACAUAAAAGUACCCAUUAAAUGGGUUUCUAGUACCCAUUUUUAUGGUCAGUAUGGAGUUGUCAGAAAAAGAGUACUUUUCAGUGACAUAAAAAAGGGUACUUUAACCUCAUUAUGAAGUAUUCUUCCAGCUAAUAUAAAUGGUUGUUUUUCAGCUCGGUGUUAAUGAAAAAAAGUCAGGGUUUAUUUCAUUGUUCGACAAAUAAAUAAUUAUGGAGGAGCAGAUUGCACGCACUCUUUGCGACACAUUUUUGGAUGACUGCAGCUGAGUUCAAUUCCAACUGCAGCGAUUUCCUAAGUACCUGGGUCGUCUACUAAAUGAUCAUAUACAUGUUGAAUUAUUGUUUUGUUAAAUUAUGAAAUAAAUGUAUGAUGUAUUUUAUUAAUUCCGUUAUUUAUGCUGUUAUUCAUUAUAUGGAACUUUCUAAACCAAAGCUUUUGUCAUAACCUCAAUCCACUGCUUCGCUCAUAAAAUAAUGGGGUUUUAUUACCCAUGUUCAUAUCGGAGGUCAAGAGUGAUAAAUACCCAUUAUUUGAAGUUCGAAGCGAAUACUCUUUAAUGAGUAAGUCGAGUUUACUCUUUAAAUGAGUUAAACCACUUUUCUUGAAAAUG